rnacentral:piRNA from 1 species
UCCAAUGGCAUGAAAUGCUCCCUCUAUUU